rnacentral:rRNA from 1 species
AAUAAGCGGAGGAAAAGAAACUAACAAGGAUUCCCCUAGUAACUGCGAGUGAAGCGGGAAAAGCUCAAAUUUAAAAUCUGGCGGUCUUUGACUGUCCGAGUUGUAAUCUAGAGAAGUGUUAUCCGCGCUGGACCGUGUACAAGUCUCCUGGAAUGGAGCGUCAUAGAGGGUGAGAAUCCCGUCUUUGACACGGACUGCCAGGGCUUUGUGAUGCGCUCUCAAAGAGUCGAGUUGUUUGGGAAUGCAGCUCAAAAUGGGUGGUAAAUUCCAUCUAAAGCUAAAUAUUGGCGAGAGACCGAUAGCGAACAAGUACCGUGAGGGAAAGAUGAAAAGAACUUUGGAAAGAGAGUUAAACAGUACGUGAAAUUGCUGAAAGGGAAACGCUUGAAGUCAGUCGCGUUGGCCGGGGAUCAACCUUGCUUUUGCUGGGCGUACUUUCCGGUCGACGGGUCAGCAUCAAUUUUGACCGGUGGAUAAAGGCUGAGGGAAUGUGGCUCCUUCGGGAGUGUUAUAGCCCUUGGUCGCAUACAUCGAUUGGGAUUGAGGAACUCAGCACGCCGAAAGGCCGGGUACUUGUACCACGU